AUUGAACGCUUUUGGCAGGCCUAACACAUGCAAGUCGAGCGGUAGCACGGGAGAGCUUGCUCUCUGGGUGACGAGCGGCGGACGGGUGAGUAAUGUCUGGGAAACUGCCUGAUGGAGGGGGAUAACUACUGGAAACGGUAGCUAAUACCGCAUGACCUCGCAAGAGCAAAGUGGGGGACCUUCGGGCCUCACGCCAUCGGAUGUGCCCAGAUGGGAUUAGCUAGUAGGUGGGGUAAUGGCUCACCUAGGCGACGAUCCCUAGCUGGUCUGAGAGGAUGACCAGCCACACUGGAACUGAGACACGGUCCAGACUCCUACGGGAGGCAGCAGUGGGGAAUAUUGCACAAUGGGCGCAAGCCUGAUGCAGCCAUGCCGCGUGUGUGAAGAAGGCCUUAGGGUUGUAAAGCACUUUCAGCGAGGAGGAAGGGUUCAGUGUUAAUAGCACUGUGCAUUGACGUUACUCGCAGAAGAAGCACCGGCUAACUCCGUGCCAGCAUCUGCGGGUAAUACGGAGGGUGCAAGCGUUAAUCGGAAUUACUGGGCGUAAAGCGCACGCAGGCGGUUUGUUAAGUCAGAUGUGAAAUCCCCGAGCUUAACUUGGGAACUGCAUUUGAAACUGGCAAGCUAGAGUCUUGUAGAGGGGGGUAGAAUUCCAGGUGUAGCGGUGAAAUGCGUAGAGAUCUGGAGGAAUACCGGUGGCGAAGGCGGCCCCCUGGACAAAGACUGACGCUCAGGUGCGAAAGCGUGGGGAGCAAACAGGAUUAGAUACCCUGGUAGUCCACGCUGUAAACGAUGUCGACUUGGAGGUUGUGCCCUUGAGGCGUGGCUUCCGGAGCUAACGCGUUAAGUCGACCGCCUGGGGAGUACGGCCGCAAGGUUAAAACUCAAAUGAAUUGACGGGGGCCCGCACAAGCGGUGGAGCAUGUGGUUUAAUUCGAUGCAACGCGAAGAACCUUACCUACUCUUGACAUCCAGAGAAUUCGCUAGAGAUAGCUUAGUGCCUUCGGGAACUCUGAGACAGGUGCUGCAUGGCUGUCGUCAGCUCGUGUUGUGAAAUGUUGGGUUAAGUCCCGCAACGAGCGCAACCCUUAUCCUUUGUUGCCAGCACGUAAUGGUGGGAACUCAAAGGAGACUGCCGGUGAUAAACCGGAGGAAGGUGGGGAUGACGUCAAGUCAUCAUGGCCCUUACGAGUAGGGCUACACACGUGCUACAAUGGCAUAUACAAAGAGAAGCAAACUCGCGAGAGCAAGCGGACCUCAUAAAGUAUGUCGUAGUCCGGAUUGGAGUCUGCAACUCGACUCCAUGAAGUCGGAAUCGCUAGUAAUCGUAGAUCAGAAUGCUACGGUGAAUACGUUCCCGGGCCU
rnacentral:rRNA from 1 species